CCCAGCAAUUUGUGAACAAAGAUUUCUGAGGCCAUUUCCAAACAAGUAGGACUGGUAAUGGUAAUGUUUUUCAAAAAAUUGAAGUAAUGGUUAUGUUUUUUAUUUAAAAGAAAUAUUCAGCUUGACAUCGACCAAUAUGCUUUGCCAUUGAUAGGGGAAGAAAAGAGUGGUAGGCAUAGUUUCGAUAUCCUGAAGACCUAUAUCUGUUGGAGGAUAGAACAAAAAAAAGAAUAAUUUGGU
rnacentral:lncRNA from 1 species